CCUACGGGUGGCAGCAGUGAGGAAUAUUGGACAAUGGACGGAAGUCUGAACCAGCCAUGCCGCGUGCAUGAAGACGGCUCUAUGAGUUGUAAACUGCUUUUGUACAAGGGUAAACCUGAAUACGUGUAUUCAGAUGAAAGGACUGUACGAAUAAGGAUGGGCUAACUCCGUGCCAGCAGCCGCGGUAAUACGGAGGAACCAAGCGUUAUCCGGAUUUAUUGGGUUUAACGGGUGCGUAGGCGGAUUGAUAAGUUAGAGGGGAAAUGUCCGAGCUUAACUCGGGAACUGCCUGUAAUACUGUUCAUCUAGAGAGUAGGAGCGGUAGGCGGAAUGGAUGGUGUAGCGGUGAAAUGCUUAGAGAUCA
rnacentral:rRNA from 1 species